rnacentral:rRNA from 1 species
GGAGCAACGCCGCGUGAGUGAUGAAGGUCUUCGGAUCGUAAAACUCUGUUAUUAGGGAAGAACAUAUGUGUAAGUAACUGUGCACAUCUUGACGGUACCUAAUCAGAAAGCCACGGCUAACUACGUGCCAGCAGCCGCGGUAAUACGUAGGUGGCAAGCGUUAUCCGGAAUUAUUGGGCGUAAAGCGCGCGUAGGCGGUUUUUUAAGUCUGAUGUGAAAGCCCACGGCUCAACCGUGGAGGGUCAUUGGAAACUGGAAAACUUGAGUGCAGAAGAGGAAAGUGGAAUUCCAUGUGUAGCGGUGAAAUGCGCAGAGAUAUGGAGGAACACCAGUGGCGAAGGCGACUUUCUGGUCUGUAACUGACGCUGAUGUGCGAAAGCGUGGGGAUCAAACAGGAUUAGAUACCCUGGUAGUCCACGCCGUAAACGAUGAGUGCUA